rnacentral:rRNA from 1 species
AUGGGGUUCUGCUGUGGGCCUUCGGAUGUCCAGGUGCUCCCCAAGAACACGUCCUCCUCUUCCUCCUCCUCAUCGUUUGUUAAAGGUUCCGGUGAUGGCGGCAAGAAGAAACAGCAGCAAGUUGUAAAGAAGGAACAGGGGAAGGAGAAGAAGAUGAGCAACCUUGACCGGGCCGCCCUCACAACGCCCCGCCUCCCCUUCCAUUCUCGACCCGGUCUAAUGUGA